CUGCGAUGAUGAUUGUAGAUGUGACUGACCUGGUAUUGCUGCCCCCCGGGUCUGCUCUGACCAGGAAAUGACCUGUGUUAAUCUUCUCUCUGAGCAU